GCCUCUUGUAGGUUGCUGCAACACCCAGCACUUCUCCUCAGCCACCAGCAGCAAAGGUCAGAGCCCAUGUGGAGGGGACUAGUGCUCCAAGCUCAGCUGGGUGGCCUGAAGCAGCAGGGAGGAUGACGAGCUGGUGCCUCAGUGCCACAGGACCAAGAGAAGGAAGCAGUGGUGGUGCAAGGAGUGGUCAAAUACUCAGAGGUGGAGGAAGGACAUGCUCUGGCUCCCAGAGCUGCAAGCCUCUCAGUCCCUAAACCCUUUUCAUUGACCAAACCCAGAGUUCCUUCCCAACAAAUGUCUCCAAAACCCCUCUAAGCUCCCUGGUGUCUCCUUGGGGUGGAGUUCACACUUCCAUCAGCAGCCCCAGGAGCCCAGCAUGAUGCCAUCUAUUGUGUCCCAGCACUGACCACCACCAAUCUGCCUGGAGGAAAAACUGCUCAUCCUGGUAGGAGGCAGCACCAUCUGUGCCACCCUGAUGGAUGGUGGCUCUUGGACACAUCUCCCUGGGCUGGCUCCUGCUGGGAAGGGGUUGAGCUGGCUCUGGCCUUGGCACAGCUUCCUCCUGGAGUUUUUCUGCCCCCUUUAGUGCCAAUCAUCACCUGACCCCAAACUGGACCUUCUCUAGGAUGCAGCCUGUGGGACAAAUGUUUUCAGGUGUGAUGAGGAUAUCAAACAAGGGCAUGGAAAAGA